UAUAAGUAAGCGGAGGAUAAGAAACUAAACAGGAUUCCCUCAGUAAUGGCGAAUGAACAGGGAUUAGCUCAGCAUGGAAAUUGGGGCCUUUGGCUUUGAAUUGUAGUUUCGAAAUGUACUGCCAACGGAGGCGCAGAUGUAAGCCUCUUGGAAAAGAGCAUCAACGAGGGUGAGAGUCCCGUUUGUCAUCUGCAGUCCCCCGUGUACGGUGUACCUUCUAAGAGUCACGUUCCUUGGAACUGGAGCGCAAAGGGGGUGGUAAAUUUCAUCUCAAGCUAAAUAUUGGUUCGAGACCGAUAGCAAACAAGUACCAUGAGGGAAAGGUGAAAAGGACUUUGGAAAGAGAGUUAAAAGUGCCUGAAAUUGCUGAAAGGGAAGCGAAUGGAACCAGUGUUGCUUGGUGAGAUUGCCGCGUGUUAACGUGAUAGCUUGCUGCAUCAACGCAAGUGUUGCAGGGAGUGUUGAUCGGGAUGUGCGCGGUGUCUCUUGCCUUGUGUGUCAGCACCAGUUUGCAAUCGAGGAAAACUCCAAGGACAUGGUAGUUUGCCCUCGGGUGAGCGAAUGUGUUUGGUUAGAACUCGUUUGUGAAUUGAUUCAGCAGUGUCCGGUUGCAGUGCCCUGUGUCAUCGGCAGUCCCUGGGCGGCUCUGCUGCUUCUCUGGAUGGAGCCGUCGACUCGUGGCAAAUCCCUGACAUGCAGAUGAGGACAACAUGGUUCUAUUCGACCCGUCUUGA
rnacentral:rRNA from 1 species